rnacentral:rRNA from 2 species
GGCUCAGAACGAACGCUGGCUUGCAGGCCUAACACAUGCAAGUCGAGCGGCCGUAGCAAUACGGCAGCGGCAGACGGGAGAGUAACACGUGGGAACGCGCCCUUCGGUUCGGAAUAACUCAGGGAAACUUGGGCUAAUACCGGAUACGCCCUUACGGGGAAAGAUUUAUUGCCGAAGGAACGGCCCGCGUCCGAUUAGCUUGUUGGUGAGGUAACGGCUCACCAAGGCGACGAUCGGUAGCUGGUCUGAGAGGAUGACCAGCCUCACUGGGACUGAGACACGGCCCAGACUCCUACGGGAGGCAGCAGUGGG